GAAAGAAGCCCAUCUCAGAGGGGGGUUCCACACACAGGAUCAUGUCAAGGUCUCAGAAAGAAGCCCAUCUCAGAGGGGGGUUCCACACACAGGAUCAUGUCAAGGUCUCAGAAAGAAGCCCAUCUCAGAGGGGGGUUCCACACACAGGAUCAUGUCAAGGUCUCAGAAAGAAGCCCAUCUCAGAGGGGGGUUCCACACACAGGAUCAUGUCAAGGUCUCAGAAAGAAGCCCAUCUCAGAGGGGGGUUCCACACACAGGAUCAUGUCAAGGUCUCAGAAAGAAGCCCAUCUCAGAGGGGGGUUCCACACACAGGAUCAUGUCAAGGUCUCAGAAAGAAGCCCAUCUCAGAGGGGGGUUCCACACACAGGAUCAUGUCAAGGUCUCAGAAAGAAGCCCAUCUCAGAGGGGGGUUCCACACACAGGAUCAUGUCAAGGUCUCAGAAAGAAGCCCAUCUCAGAGGGGGGUUCCACACACAGGAUCAUGUCAAGGUCUCAGAAAGAAGCCCAUCUCAGAGGGGGGUUCCACACACAGGAUCAUGUUAAGGAUGGAUGCAGGCACAACAUUUCAAAGCAGAACUAAACCGUUGUUAACUUUCAGUUGUCUGUAGCACAGGAUAGCUUCUUCAGUAACAAAGAGAAGAAUAGGAAACAUAUUAAAUAACAUGUCCCUCUUCUCAAAGUCAGAGACGACUGUUCACCCUCUUCUAUUCAAACCUCCUCCUACAUCCAUAUGAUAACAAACACAAUUACCGAGAACUAUUAACUUUCCGUGGCACAAAUCAAAGCUUUUAUCAUAAAAACAUAUAGUGUAGAUAACACCAGUUCCCUUUCACCUGGAGAUGUAAUAUCUGCUGAGACCAACAGAUUAUGAUGUAUAUUAUUAUCAUAAAGUCAGGAGAAUACAGAUCUUAGGAUAAUAACACAGU